AUCCUUGCCAGACGAAGCGGAUUUGAAUUCAAAUAACCCGCGCAUCUUCCGAUCUUCGGAUUGCAGAUGCAGGGUGGGGAUUCACACUGUCACAGUCGAGAAGAAGCCUUAUCUUCCUCGGUUAAUCCGAUCGCCCAUCUGACUAUCAGAGUCUCACUAUGAAAUCCGAACAUUUUCUCUCUUCCGCUAGCCCUGAGCUUCUCAGUCGAAAACCCUCCUCUUAAUUCCCCCCUACUUUAGAAAAUGGCCUCCCCAAUAGCUUACUCCCAAAUCGACGAUAAGGAUCUCGACGACGCCGCUUUGUGGGCUGUUAUUGAUUCCGCCACUGCCUCCCGUUCCACAACCAAGUGCAAAUCCCUUGCCAUCAAAUAUAAUAAUACCACAUCCCCAUCUCCGAUCUCAAAACCCUUGCCACCGACCAAGUUCCAGAGAAUCUCGAGGGAUUCCCCUUCAGCUUCCAUCGAAUCCAAGGCUACAGGCGACGGUGAAGUGGAUCAUGAACCUUGGUCGUACCGGCCUCCUAGGAAGGUUGCAAGGAUUUGUCCUUCAGAGACGAGCGAGAGUAGUCCACUGGCUCUGGUGAAUAAUGGGCAGCGAACGCCAUCGGCAGCAGCUUUUUAUUCGUCACGGGAGGCGCAUCUGUCGCCUGAGAUAGGGAGGCUUCGAGUGAAAGAGAUUAGUCCUUAUACAGAGGUCUCUCCAGGGUACAGUGACAGGAGCGAGGAGAGGGAGAUCACGAUGUAUGGAUUUUCUGGGAAGUUCCCUUCAGUUUCAUUGUUCAAGGAAUACCAAAAUACAGCCAUGGCGAUUUUGGAGAAGACUGAUUAUACAUUGAUUUCGGGGAAGCCUUUCAUAAAAAAGUCAGGUUGGAGGAAGAUAUCUUGCUUCUUCAAUAUUUCUUUUGAAAUUAGAGACAAGAAUAUUGAGUUUGAUGAGAAUCGUAAUGUCCAGCGCGCUGAGUUUGUGGUUCGGGCAUACAUGCAGGGAGGCAGGUUCUCAGAUGGAUGGGGCUCUUGUGAGCGGCGUGAGAAGAGAUUUCAGAAACCGAAUCAUGACGUACCUAGCACAGCAGAGACGAGAGCCAAAAACAAAGCAUGUCAAAACUGACGUGGGAGAUGGUAGACAAUGUGAUUUGUUGUCAGAAUCAUAGCCGGAGCUGGAUGCUUCUGACUUCACCACCACAUUCAUUUUCAUUUUCACCGCCACCUCUGCUUCGUCGGCCUUUUUUCUCGACAGAGGAGUCACAAAGUUUGUCAAUGGGUUUGGUCCAUAAAUCUUAAUCGUUGCAUUAUCAUAAACCAUAACCUUGAGCACCCAACUCUAGCGAUAGAGGCAAAGGUAGCUUGGAGGGACUUGCGGUCGUGGAUAGGGCCCAACUAGUUGAGGCAAGUGUCAUUGUGUGUCAUGGCAGCGCUUACCCAAGUCUGGGCAUCGCUCAUCUACAUGCGGAUGAGGACUUGCAAAGGUGCUUGAGCUUGUGGAGGCUCUUGGACGCUAGCCACCGCCCACAACGUCUCUCUCCCCUCUCUCUUUCCCCCUCUCUCUCCAUGGCAUCUCUCUUUCCAUGCAGCUGAACUGUCGAGGUUGUGGGUGGUAGGAGGAGAGGUGUGGAUUUGUUAGGAAUUGGAGAAUACCGAUCUAGUGACGGUGCAGGCUACGUCGGUUGAUGAUAUUAUAAUAUUACAGAGUACUGUUGAUUGGGACGGUGUCCUCCCAGACCAUCAGCUUUUGCUUUUUGCCCAAUUGUGCGUAAAGCUAUAAUAUUCUAUAAUGGUUCCGAAUGUAUGAAAAUAUUAAAUCUACAAUACUAUU